UUUGUGAUCUUUUUUUUUUAUAAUCCUGUGUAUAUUUUUCCAGCUGAAACUGAACUGUAUGAGAAAACCUGGAAAUGGAUGAAAUGUAUCUAUAAUGUUAGCCCUGAAGAUUUCCCGAUGGUCUAAACCAAUGGCAGUGAUGAAAUGGAUCUAGCCCAAGAAGUAGAAUUUGAACACCUGGAAAAAUUACAAGGUACAAAUCAAUUUUUAUUUCAGUUCCUCAAUAAAUGAUUCUCCCAAUCGA